UACGUAGGGGGCAAGCGUUAUCCGGAAUUACUGGGUGUAAAGGGUGAGUAGGCGGCAUGGUAAGCCAGAUGUGAAGGCCUUGGGCUUAACCCGAGGAUUGCAUUUGGAACUAUCAAGCUAGAGUACAGGAGAGGAAAGCGGAAUUCCUGGUGUAGCGGUGAAAUGCGUAGAUAUUAGGAAGAACACCAGUGGCGAAGGCGGCUUUCUGGACUGAAACUGACGCUGAGGCACGAAAGCGUGGGGAGCGAGCAGG
rnacentral:rRNA from 1 species